CGGGGGAUAACACCUGGAAACAGAUGCUAAUACCGCAUAACAACUUGGACCACAUGGUCCGAGCUUGAAAGAUGGCUUCGGCUAUCACUUUUGGAUGGUCCCGCGGCGUAUUAGCUAGAUGGUGGGGUAAUGGCUUACCAAGGCGACGAUACGUAGCCGACCUGAGAGGGUGAUCGGCCACACUGGAACUGAGACACGGUCCAGACUCCUACGGGAGGCAGCAGUAGGGAAUCUUCCGCAAUGGGCGAAAGCCUGACGGAGCAACGCCGCGUGAGUGAUGAAGGGUUUCGGCUCGUAAAACUCUGUUAUUAGGGAAGAACAUAUGUGUAAGUAACUGUGCACAUCUUGACGGUACCUAAUCAGAAAGCCACGGCUAACUACGUGC
rnacentral:rRNA from 1 species